rnacentral:rRNA from 1 species
ACGCUCGACACCUACGGGAGGCAGCAGUAGGGAAUCUUCCACAAUGGACGCAAGUCUGAUGGAGCAACGCCGCGUGAGUGAAGAAGGUUUUCGGAUCGUAAAGCUCUGUUGUUGGUGAAGAAGGAUAGAGGUAGUAACUGGCCUUUAUUUGACGUAAUCAACCAGAAAGUCACGGCUAACUACGUGCAAGCAGCCGCGGUAAUCUGAGCGGGCUGGCAAGGC